GUGAAUCAUCGAAUUUUUGAACGCAAAUUGCACUCUCUGGGAUGCGGGAGAGUAUGCCUGUUUGAGGGUAAGAAUAAUCAAAAUCGGAGCGGUGCGUUUUGGGUGAAGCACCGGAGUUGGGGUAAUCUAAACUCUUUUUUUUAAGAGAACUAAAAUUAACAUUCUGGUUUGAUGAAUUUUGAGAAGUACAUAAUUUUUUUUUAUUCGACUAACCGGGUGGCAAAAAUUUU
rnacentral:misc_RNA from 1 species